rnacentral:rRNA from 1 species
AACGAACGCUGGCGGCAUGCCUAACACAUGCAAGUCGAACGAGACCUUCGGGUCUAGUGGCGCACGGGUGCGUAACGCGUGGGAACCUGCCCUUAGGUUCGGAAUAACUCCCCGAAAGGGGUGCUAAUACCGGAUAAUGUCUUCGGACCAAAGAUUUAUCGCCUUUGGAUGGGCCCGCGUUGGAUUAGCUAGUUGGUAGGGUAAAAGCCUACCAAGGCGACGAUCCAUAGCUGGUCUGAGAGGAUGAUCAGCCACACUGGGACUGAGACACGGCCCAGACUCCUACGGGAGGCAGCAGUGGGGAAUAUUGGACAAUGGGCGAAAGCCUGAUCCAGCAAUGCCGCGUGAGUGAUGAAGGCCUUAGGGUUGUAAAGCUCUUUUACCCGGGAUGAUAAUGACAGUACCGGGAGAAUAAGCGCCUGCUAACUCCGUG